UCUAGGAGAGCGUCGACCCCUAAUUGACAUAAGGGGAAAAAUCAUUGAAAAGUGUUCAGCGUUCAGUGUACCCCUCUUUGCAACAGAGGAAGCAUUAUAGUAAAGAGGAGUAGAGAGAAAGUGAAAAGGCACUCAACAGAUGUUGGAAAAUGCACUGGUAACAACUAAACAAAGAAGACCAAAAAUAUAAUUCAGCAGAAGAUGAUGGCUGUGGUGAAACAAGCGCUCAAAUAAUGGAACUAAGACCUGUGGGAGUGCUGGAGAAAUCAAGUGUAACAAGUCCUCUGUCUCCUCAGCCAUGUAAGAGAUCUUCAGACAUGAAGAGAUUGAGGAGUUAAAUUAAAUCAAAGAACUAAAAGAAGAUUUACAAUAUUAGUGCCAAUUCAGUAUGAAA